rnacentral:sRNA from 1 species
ACUGCCUCAAAGCAAUUUUUUGUUGGUUUUAGCCGCUUCUGGGAGCCAAUGGGUAUAAGUGAUGUCUAAACACUCUUAAUCCAUCUUUAACUCUUAUAAUUAUUCAAAUGCAUUGGGCUGUGACACAUUUUGACCAUCAAAACACUAACAGAAGUGUUUACUGCUUCUAAGCAUUUUUUUGCUUGUUUUAGCCUCUUUUGGGAGAAAAUGGGUAUAAGUGUUUUCUAAACACUCCUAAUCCAUCUCUAACUCUUAUAAUUAGUCCAAGGCAUUGGAUUGUGACACAUUUUGAUCAUAGAAACACUAACAAAUAUAUUUACUCCUUCAAAGCAAAUUUUUGUUGGUUUUAGCCUCUUUUGGCAGAAAAUGGGUAUAAGUGUUGUCUAAACACUCUUAAUCCAUCUCUAACUCGUAGAAUUAGUCAAAGGCUUUGGAUUGUGACACCUUUUGACCAUGCAAAGACUAACAAAGCUAUUUACUGCUUCUAAGCAAUUUUUUCUUGGUUUUAACGUCUUUUGGGAGAAAAUGGGUAUAGGUGUUGUCUAAACACUCCUAACACAUCUUUAACUCUUAUAAUUAGUCAAAUGCAUUGGAUUGUGAUACAUCUUGUAAGCAAGUUUUUGUUGGUUUUAGCCUUUUUUGGGAGAAAAUGGGUAUAAGUGUUGUCAAAACACCCCUAAUCCAUCUCUGACUCAUAUAAUCAGUCAAAUGCAUUGGAUUGCGAUACAUAUUGACCAUUGAAACACUAACAAAGCUAUUUACUGUUUGUAAGCAAUAUUUUGUUUGUUUUAGCCUCUUUUGGGAGAAAAUGGGUAUAAGUAUUACCUAAACACUCCUAAUCCAUCUCUAACUCUUAUAAUUAGUCAAAUGCAUUGGAUUGUAACACAUUUUGACCAUAGAAACACUAACAAAGGU